GACAGAGGGUGCAAACGUUGUUCGGAAUUACUGGGCGUAAAGCGCGUGUAGGCGGCUUGGCAAGUCGGGUGUGAAAGCCCCGGGCUCAACCUGGGAAGUGCACUCGAAACUGCUUGGCUUGAGCACUGGAGAGGGAAGCGGAAUUCUCGGUGUAGAGGUGAAAUUCGUAGAUAUCGAGAGGAACACCGGUGGCGAAGGCGGCUUCCUGGACAGUUACUGACGCUGAGACGCGAAAGCGUGGGGAGCAAACAGG
rnacentral:rRNA from 1 species